rnacentral:rRNA from 1 species
GACGAACGCUGGCGGCGUGCCUAAUACAUGCAAGUUGAACGCUAAAGCUUUAACUGGUGCUUGCACCGACUUAAGUUUUUAGAGUAGCGGACGGGUGAGUAACACGUGGGUAACCUGCCCUAAAGUGGGGGAUAACAUUUGGAAACAGAUGCUAAUACCGCAUAAAUCUUGGAACCUCAUGGUUCCAAGCUGAAAGAUGGCGUAAGCUAUCGCUUUUGGAUGGACCCGCGGCGUAUUAGCUAGUUGGUGAGGUAAAGGCUCACCAAGGCGAUGAUACGUAGCCGACCUGAGAGGGUGAUCGGCCACAUUGGGACUGAGACACGGCCCAAACUCCUACGGGAGGCAGCAGUAGGGAAUCUUCCACAAUGGACGAAAGUCUGAUGGAGCAACGCCGCGUGAGUGAAGAAGGUUUUCGGAUCGUAAAACUCUGUUGUUGGAGAAGAACGUACGUGAGAGUAACUGUUCACGUAGUGACGGUAUCCAACCAGAAAGCCACGGCUAACUACGUGCCAGCCGCCGCAGUAAAAC